UCCUGUGGGUUAGUAGUCUAAUGGACUGUUCCUGUGGGUUAGUAGUCUAAUGGACUGUUCCUGUGGGUUAGUAGUCUAAUGGACUGUUCCUGUGGGUUAGUAGUCUAAUGGACUGUUCCUGUGUGUUAGUAGUCUAAUGGACUGUUCCUAUGUGUUAGUAGUCUAAUGGACUGUUCCUAUGUGUUAGUAGUCUAAUGGACUGUUCCUAUGUGUUAGUAGUCUAAUGGACAGUUCCUGUGUGUUAGUAGUCUAAUGGACAGUUCCUGUGUGUUAGUAGUCUAAUGGACUGUUCCUGUGUGUUAGUAGUCUAAUGGACUGUUCCUAUGUGUUAAUGUCUGUAGUCUAAUGGACUGUUCCUGUGGGUUAGUAGUCUAAUGGACUGUUCCUAUGUGUUAGUAGUCUAAUGGACUGUUCCUGUGUGUUAGUAGUCUAAUGGACUGUUCUUAUGUGUUAGUAGUCUAAUGGACUGUUCCUAUGUGUUAGUAGUCUAAUGGACUGUUCCUGUGUGUUAGUAGUCUAAUGGACUGUUCCUAUGUGUUAAUGUCUGUAGUCUAAUGGACAGUUCCUGUGUGUUAGUAGUCUAAUGGACUGUUCUUAUGUGUUAGUAGUCUAAUGGACUGUUCCUAUGUGUUAGUAGUCUAAUGGACUGUUCCUAUGUGUUAGUAGUCUAAUGGACUGUUCCUAUGUGUUAGUAGUCUAAUGGACUGUUCCUGUGUGUUAGUAGUCUAAUGGACUGUUCCUGUGUGUUAGUAGUCUAAUGGACUGUUCCUGUGUGUUAGUAGUCUUUUUAUUUUAUUUAUUUAUUUUACCUUUAUUUAACUAGGCAAGUCAGUUAAUAACAAAUUCUUAUUUUCAAUGAUGGCCUAGGAACAGUGGGUUAACUGCCUUGUUCAGUGGUAGAAUGACAGAUUUGUACCUUGUCAACUCGGGGAUUUGAACUUGCAGCCUUCGGUUACUAGUCCAACGCUCUAACCACUAGGGUACCCUGCCACCCCACUCUAAUGGACUGUUCCUGUGUGUUAGUAGUCUAAUGGACUGUUCCUGUGUGUUAGUAGUCUAAUGGACUGUUCCUGUGUGUCUGUAGUCUAAUGGACUGUUCCUGUGUGUUAGUAGUCUAAUGGACUGUCCCUGUGUGUUAGUAGUCUAAUGGACUGUUCCUACAUGUUGAUGACAGGAGGAAGCGCAAGCGGGCAGAGAGAGAGUAUGAGAAAGUAAAAAUCAAGUUGGAGAAUCUGCAGGAGAGCGUGGGAGACCGCUGGAAGGUGGAACUCACAGUGUGUGAGCCUACAUGUCAGCCCUGACGAAGGAAGCGAACAUGCCGUCUUCGUUCUCCAGAAGGGUCUCUGGUUUGUCGAUCUCCAAGAUGUUCCCUCGCUUCAUCACGAUCACCAGGUCAGCUUCCAGGAUGGUGUGGACACGAUGCUGCAUGAAGAACACACACACAGACGCACGCACACAGACAUUACAUUUGACUGAGUGUUGAAUUACACAAACAAAGAGGAAGGGAUUGUCACGUUCCUGACCUGUUUUCUGUUAGUUUUUGUAUGUGUUAGUUGGUCAGGACGUGAGUUUGGGUGGGCAGUCUAUGUUUUCUGUUUUUAUGUUGGUUUAAAGGGUGACCUGAUAUGGCUCUCAAUUAGAGGCAGGUGGUUUUCAUUUCCUCUGAUUGAGAGUCAUAUUAAGGUAGGUGUUUUCACACUGUUUGUUGUGGGUGGUUGUCUUCUGUGUCUGUGUAUGUUGCGCCACACAGGACUGUUUCGGUAUGUUUGUUUGUUCGGUUUUUGUGUUGUCUGUUUUCCCUGUUCGUGCGUUCUUCGUGUUACAUGUAAGUUCUUACGUUCAGGUCAGUCUACGUUCUUUUGUUAUUUUGUAAUCCUUCCAAGUGUUUGUUUUCGUGUUUCGUCGUUUGCUUUAAUAAAUCAUUAUGUAUUCACAA